rnacentral:rRNA from 1 species
UACGGAGGGUGCAAGCGUUAUCCGGAUUCACUGGGUUUAAAGGGUGCGUAGGUGGGCUGGUAAGUCAGUGGUGAAAUCUCCGGGCUUAACUCGGAAACUGCCGUUGAUACUAUCAGUCUUGAAUAUUGUGGAGGUAAGCGGAAUAUGUCAUGUAGCGGUGAAAUGCUUAGAUAUGACAUAGAACACCGAUAGCGAAGGCAGCUUGCUGCACAAUUAUUGACACUGAGGCUCGAAAGCGUGGGGAUCAAACAGG